CGGCUUUCCAAUCGGUGCCAAGUGCUGUUGCAAAAGAUUCUCGAAUGUGUUGAUUGCUACAACGAAAUGCCAGUUUCAGCGUUUUGAGUGUUUCACAUUCAGCAACGAAUCGGCACAGGUGAGAUGAUGUUGAAAUAAAGUCGCCAAAUAAGUAAAGGAUCGUAAGUUGAGGCAGAGUUUUUGCAAAUAAUGUGAGAUUUUCAUCCAAUUUCUCCAUCGGCAUCAAUUCUUCGAGUGAAAACUUUUUGGUCAUUAUUGUCUGUCCGGGCGUUAGACCCAAACUAAUCAAAUUUGUGCACUUUGUGAUGAAAUCAGUCCAUUUUGAAUACGAUGCCGAGUAGCCGAUUAUACAUAAAUUCUUCAGAUUUGCAGCUGACAGUGAUACUUGGCAUUCGUUCUUUUCUGGAAGAUAAAUUGUGAGCUGUGUCAGUGUCUGGAAGUCAAUAACAGCGUCUUCGGGUGAAUUUUCAUUGCCGGUACCAUUAAACAUAAGCUCUGCAGAUGAGAAUUUCGAUGCAAACACGACACAACAUUUGAAAUUGACAAUUGACUCAGUUCUUGUCGAUCGUGUUUCAAUGUCAAUUUUGUCAAGGCAGGAAAUGUUGCUUCGAUGUGUUUUGGAUCAGAAAAUGUUGAAUUUACUAAUUUUAAAUGUUUAACACUCGGAAACCAUUGACAUAGGCGAGAGAGAUUUUGUCGAAAGUCACCUUCAUGAAUGGACAAUUUCGUAAUGGCCGGAAAUGAUUCGUGUACUUUGUUGAAUGUCCAUGCAUCGAACGAUUGGAUUUUCAGCUUCUGUAAUGAAUCAGCACAAUGUAAAACAAUGUCACGUUCAAUUUUACUCCAAUUGCUCGGGUCAUCCAUCAGGAAAUUUCGAUUGGAGUAAUCGAUUUCCAGCUUCAACACCAAAUGCCCAAACAAACGAAGAAAUGUUGCGGAUUCAAUGUCACUUUUCAUGCGAAUAUUUUGAUCCAGAACGACCGACGUUGAACAAAUGAAACCAGAUUCAUCGAUCACCACGGUUUCAUUGUUGUAUUUUUGUCCGAAUAUCGACUUUGCUGGUGUUCUCAAUAUUGCAUGUGCAUCUGCCAAUGUUGUUAAUUCCGACAAACUCAAGUAGUUAAACAAAUGUGAGGCGAUAAUGCGAUGAUCAUGUUGAUUUUGCGAAGUAUCAUUGAUAUUAACCAUUUUAUCUGAAAAUUCCAUUGCGACUACAGCACAAUUGAACCAGGAAGUAUCAACAUGUAUUCAAAUAAAAAACAAUAAUAAACAUACUAAGACAGUGAUCAUGGUAAUUGUGUGCGUUUUCAAGUACUGCAGAGAAAGAGAGUCUGAGGAUAACCUACAAGCCCUCAACAACGAAACAAAUACCACAUUAUCAACUAUAAACGAGGAUGUGACUUCCAACCCCGAAGAGAAACAAUAUGUAACCAUUGAAAUAUCAAAUGAAGGAGAACUUUGUAGCGAGGAGACUUCAUCCGUAUAUACCACCCAAACAGACAACUAUGAAAAAGUUUGGUUUGGACGUACCAUAGGAGAAAGUCAACAGGAUUUGCGAAUUUUAGAUUUUUAGAAAGAUAGUAGUUUCGUUCAAAGCGUUUAGUUUGGAUCACUGCUCAUAUAUAUGUUUCCAAACGUAUAUUUAAUACCACAUCUUAUUAUCAUUCUAAUCAUGAUGUCUGGUGGGCCACGGUUCAAAGUCGAGUUGGAUAAUUUCAGUUUUCUCACGUUUAUGAUAAUAAAAUCGCUUGUGGAAUUCUUUUUUUUUAAACAAAUACCAUUGAAUAGACGUACUUCCAAUGUAGUUGUAUUAAUUUUUCUGUAAAUUUUGAAAUAAAUUAUAGAGAUUUUUUUGUUUAAUGAGUUUAUUUAUUGCGUAAAGCAAUAGGAUGAUACAAUAUUAAGAAAUAAAUGUUAUUAGCAACCAGA